CAUUUCUGCCUACUCUAAAAUCAAAAGAAGAAAUUGAAUAAAUAUAUGUCAGCCCGACGGCUGCCUUCAACUUAAAACGGACUUGUGUUCUUAAUUGGAGUUCAUCAUUACAUGGCGACCGUGACAGUCGUCCAACGCUGGACGAAUUGACCAAAGCUGGUGAAAACAAAGGAACAAAGGAACACUGGACUGGAAGAAGACUGGACUAAUUAAAUGGAACUGCAAAAACCAAGGAAAAAUCUGAGCAUGUCCAGCACCAGCACCAGCAUUAACAAAACCAAAGAAGUCCUGCCCCCCUGGCUGCGAAGGAAUCUGGAGUCCCCACUGCCUGGGGACUUGUGAGCGACCAUCGACGUCUUCAGCGGCGAAGAAAUAGACAGCAGCGAGGGAGUGUCAGCGUGCCACCCCCGGCGACGCCCAGCUGACACCCAACAAAUAGACAGCAGCGAGGGAGUGUCAGCGUGCCACCCCCGGCGACGCCCAGCUGACACCUGAUGAGCAUCAUCAACAGCAGAAUAUAAUAAUAAAUAUAUAUAAAUAUAAAGUAAAUAUAAAAUAUAUAUAGAUAAGAAAAAUUGUAAGAAAUAUUGUAAAACGGAGCAUAUACUAUUAUGCCCUGUUAACCCAAUAUGGCCCGUGAAGCCAUAGCUAGAAUCAGGCAGGCAACAAUGUAAAAUACAAUUUUUUUUUACUCUUGCGAACAUUGAAAGAUUUUAUAAAUAGAUAAUUCCAAACAUAAAUGUCUAUAGAGACAAAUGAAAUAAGUAAAACUGAAAAUAAAAGUAUAUACAAAGGAAAUUUUCUAUUCUAUUCUCCAAAAUAUAAAAUUAGUAUACCCAAAAUGGGUCUAAUAGACACUAAAACUGUGGACUCUACAGCCAAUGUAAUAAAUAAAGUAGAAGUCCAAAAUGCAGACUUGUUCUGGAUAACCAUAAUACUAAUUGUAAUUGCAUUAAUUAUGGUAUCCAAUGCAUUAAUAAAAAUAUACAAACUGCAUAACAAGUGUCUUAAGAAACGAUACCGUAGCACUGCUAACGGUAUAGAUAAUAUUUAAGGAAGAUCUUUAAUAAAGUCAAUUAU